GACGAACGCUGGCGGCGUGCUUAACACAUGCAAGUCGAACGGAAAUGCCCUGCUUUUGUGGGGUGCUCGAGUGGCGAACGGGUGAGUAACACGUGAGUAACCUGCCCUUGACUUUGGGAUAACUUCAUGAAACUGGGGCUAAUACCGGAUAGGAGCUCCUGCUUCAUGGUGGGGGUUGGAAUGUUUCGGCGGUUGGGGAUGGACUCGCGGCUUAUCAGCUUGUUGGUGGGGUAGUGGCUUACCAAGGCUUUGACGGGUAGCCGGCCUGAGAGGGUGACCGGCGACAUUGGGACUGAGAUACGGCACAGACUCAUACGGGAGGCAGGAGUGGGGAAUAUUGCACAGUGGGCGGAAGCCUGAUGCAGCAACGCCGCGUGCGGGAUAACGGCCUUCGGGUUGGAAACCGCUUUCGCCUGUGACGAAGCGUGAGUGACGGUAAUGGGUGAAGAAGCACCGGCUAACUACGUG
rnacentral:rRNA from 1 species